rnacentral:rRNA from 2 species
GACGAACGCUGGCGGCGUGCUUAACACAUGCAAGUCGUACGGUAAGGCCCUUUCGGGGGUACACGAGUGGCGAACGGGUGAGUAACACGUGAGUAACCUGCCCACAACUUUGGGAUAACGCUAGGAAACUGGUGCUAAUACUGGAUAUGUGCUCCUGCUGCAUGGUGGGGGUUGGAAAGCUCCGGCGGUUGUGGAUGGACUCGCGGCCUAUCAGCUUGUUGGUGGGGUAGUGGCCUACCAAGGCGGCGACGGGUAGCCGGCCUGAGAGGGUGACCGGCCACAUUGGGACUGAGAUACGGCCCAG